AGUGAACGCUGGCGGCAGGCCUAACACAUGCAAGUCGAACGGCAGCACAGUAAGAGUUUGCUCUUACGGGUGGCGAGUGGCGGACGGGUGAGGAAUACAUCGGAAUCUACUUUUUCGUGGGGGAUAACGUAGGGAAACUUACGCUAACACCGCAUACGACCUACGGGUGAAAGCAGGGGAUCUUCGCACCUUGCGCGAUUGUAUGAGCCGAUGUCGGAUUAGCUAGUUGGCGGGGUAAAGGCCCACCAAGGCGACGAUCCGUAGCUGGUCUGAGAGGAUGAUCAGCCACACUGGAACUGAGACACGGUCCAGACUCCUACGGGAGGCAGCAGUGGGGAAUAUUGGACAAUGGGCGCAAGCCUGAUCCAGCCAUGCCGCGUGGGUGAAGAAGGCCUUCGGGUUGUAAAGCCCUUUUGUUGGGAAAGAAAAGCAGCAGGUUAAUACCCCGCUGUUCUGACGGUACCCAAAGAAUAAGCACCGGCUAACUUCGUG
rnacentral:rRNA from 1 species